rnacentral:tRNA from 1 species
UGGGGCGUAGCCAAGUGGUAAGGCAACGGGUUUUGAUCCCGUCAUUCGCAGGUUCGAUCCCUGCCGCCCCAGCCA